rnacentral:rRNA from 1 species
GAGCGCCCCGCAAGGGGAGCGGCAGACGGGAGAGUAACACGUGGGAACGUACCCUUCAGUUCGGAACAACCCAGGGAAACUUGGGCUAAUACCGGAUACGUCCGUAAGGAGAAAGAUUUAUCGCUGAAGGAUCGGCCCGCGUCUGAUUAGCUAGUUGGUGAGGUAACGGCUCACCAAGGCUACGAUCAGUAGCUGGUCUGAGAGGAUGAUCAGCCUCACUGGGACUGAGACACGGCCCAGACUCCUACGGGAGGCAGCAGUGGGGAAUAUUGGACAAUGGGCGCAAGCCUGAUCCAGCCAUGCCGCGUGGAUGAUGAAGGCCUUAGGGUUGUAAAAUCCUUUCGGCGGGGAAGAUAAUGACGGUACCCGCAGAAGAAGCCCCGGCUAACUUCGUGCCAGCAGCCGCGGUAAUACGAAGGGGGCUAGCGUUGCUCGGAAUCACUGGGCGUAAAGCGCACGUAGGCGGCUUUUUAAGUCAGGGGUGAAAUCCUGGAGCUCAACUCCAGAACUGCCUUUGAUACUGAGAGGCUUGAGUCCGGGAGAGGUGAGUGGAACUGCGAGUGUAGAGGUGAAAUUCGUAGAUAUUCGCAAGAACACCAGUGGCGAAGGCGGCUCACUGGCCCGGUACUGACGCUGAGGUGCGAAAGCGUGGGGA